GUGCUCGCUUCAGCAGCACAUAUACUAAAAUUGGAAUGAUACAAAGAAGAUUAGCAUGGCCCCUGUGCGAGGAUGACAUGCAAAUUCGUGAAGAGUUCCAUAUUUUU
rnacentral:snRNA from 1 species